GAUAUUUAAGAAACUAAUACUGAAUCUGCGUUCAUGAAUUUCUUUAUUUGGUUGUUAUCUGUAAAAUACGUCUACCUUGUGUUUUGUUGAACACCAGACAUCUCAUCUCUUUCCCACAAUUUUUCACUUAGUUCCACUACUGCAGUGGAUUUUAUAGUCAAUGUUUAAAGCCAACAGAGUCUGAAGCGAUGGAGGAAAUUUACGUCAAUAUGGAACCUGUUGGAAAAACUGCAUCUAAUCACACAGGUUGGAGCAGCUCCAAAGAGAGGCUCUGCCUCCAUGCGGCUGUCUGUUUGGGAAUCCUGAAUGUUUUACUUUUGGCUGAACUCAUCGCCCUCAGCAUACACACUCAUGACAUGACAGCAGAUUUUUCUGACAUCAGCAACAUUCUGACCGAGCAGAACAGCAGCAGCGAGUUUCCCUCCAUGAACGCUAACUUCACUGAAACGGCUCCACGAGCUGAAGACACUUUAAGGUUGGUCAAAAACUUUAAAAAAUUUGGAUCUCGUUAAAAAUUGAAUUCUACUCUGAAUUGUAGAGUAUAACUAAUAACUUUCCUUUUUGGUCUAAAUGAAUAUAAUGUAAAUGAACAACUUUUAUUUUAAUUUAUUAAGUGCUCUAUCAUUUGCGUGUGCUGAAAAACAACGAUGUAAAACAAACUAAACUUUGAUUGUUUUCUCC